rnacentral:lncRNA from 1 species
CCGCCGGCCUCCGGAGGGCUCGUCCGAGGCCGCAGCGCUGAGCCCAGGUCCCUCCGCCUGACCACGCUGCUCCUGCUUGGUCACUCCCACGUAACCCGGCCGAGCGCCCAGCCUGUCACCCUAGAAUUCGGCCUGCUGGGCACCUUACCCUUUCCACUUACUGGGGGCCAUCAAGUUUUUUUUUUGGAGCGCACAGACCCGGGGUAGGACCGGACCAAUCCCAACCCACUCCUCCAUCCUUUCUCUCUGCAAGAUCCCGGUCACGUCCCAUUUCCCCCGGGUCUGGGACGCAGAUGCCUUAGCCGCAACUCCCAAGGAGUUGAAAGGCAGGAAGGACUGUGGGUGGGCAGGGGGCGCGCACUCCCGCCCAGAGGAGCAGCUUGCCAAGCGUGUUGGGCAGAGGACUGGAAAGCCUGCACUUCCGCCGCACCCUGGGGACUCAAGGAGACCCUCGGUGUCCUCUCCAUGGGCCCAAAUGCACGCCCCCUCCGAGCGAGCGCCGCAGAAGGAAAGCUUCGGCCGCGCGGGUGGAGGAGGGUUGGGAAGGCGAACAGGGUCCUUUCCGUAUCUGGGAGGUGGUAUCUGGUGUUUGGGGUCUGCGAAAGCGAGUGUAACCUCUCCCAGAACCCUCAAACCUUCCAUUCUUUUACAACCCCCGCAGCCGAGAAGGCAGCGACGGAGGUGGAGGGGGAAGCUCUCCUCCCGGACCACGGGCGUCUGCGAAACUCUGAGCCCGGGCGCCGGGGUGCUGCCAGGUCCAGCUUUGAGUACCCGAGCAAGUUGCCACAGGUGGCCACAGGCAGGCACCAGGAUCCUGGACAUUAGGAGCCACCACCGCCCUCUCUGUUGCCUGAAGUCCUGCCCUGUCCCCAUCUCUCCUCUGCUCCCUGCCCUCCACCUGCUGCCCUGGGCCCAACCCGCCUGCUGCCGGAUCCUGGCAUGUCAAGGCCUGGCCUGCUCCUGCCUGCCCAGCCCGCG